AUUGAACGCUGGCGGCAGGCCUAACACAUGCAAGUCGAGCGGAUGAAGGGAGCUUGCUCCUGGAUUCAGCGGCGGACGGGUGAGUAAUGCCUAGGAAUCUGCCUGGUAGUGGGGGAUAACGUCCGGAAACGGGCGCUAAUACCGCAUACGUCCUGAGCGAGAAAGUGGGGGAUCUUCGGACCUCACGCUAUCAGAUGAGCCUAGGUCGGAUUAGCUAGUUGGUGGGGUAAAGGCCUACCAAGGCGACGAUCCGUAACUGGUCUGAGAGGAUGAUCAGUCACACUGGAACUGAGACACGGUCCAGACUCCUACGGGAGGCAGCAGUGGGGAAUAUUGGACAAUGGGCGAAAUCCUGAUCCAGCCAGGCCGCGUGUGUGAAGAAGGUCUUCGGAUUGUAAAGCACUUUAAGUUGGGAGGAAGGGCAGUAAGUUAAUACCUUGCUGUUUUGACGUUACCAACAGAAUAAGCACCGGCUAACUUCGUG
rnacentral:rRNA from 1 species